CAGGUUUUAUUCUUGUUUCUCCGCUCCUAUAUUCGUCAUCGCAGAGCGAACCUUGAGCUUCUCUGAGGUUCGACGUCUUCUCUCUUUUUCAUCUAUGAAACGGCUCUUUGAUUCUUCACUGUUCCGACUUAAUGCGCAGUUAUGCCCCUCUUCCACUCCGAAGCAUUGAAUCGCCAUCAUAGAGUCCUCUAUAUAAUCGUUCGAAGUCGUAUCUAUAAAUAUCACUCCUUCGACCAUGGACAUCAGAGCUUCAAAGAAAUUUUUAAAAAAUCAGUUCGGCUUACCCAGUUCGACGAUGGCUAACUCCUACAUCCUUCUUGGCGAUUUGACUCUCUCCAUAUGGUUCAACGCCGGCACUACUUUCGAAAAGCUCACUACUUUCGAAAAGCUAACUGAUUCCGUAAGACCAAUACCUACUGAGCUGUUCAGAUUUCAACCUCACGAACAAGCAACUUCCUGAUGUGAUUGGUGAGUUAAGUGCAAUAAGGAGCACAAUUAACGACUUUCUACCGGGUGCACAACAGGUGAUGCUUACUCUGCGUCUAGAAAGAUAUUUGUAUUGUUACUCUCCAUUUGUUAUAAUAUAUAUAGACUCUAAGGUAAAACCCAUUUGACUCUAUAUCGACGUUUUUUUCCAGGGAUAUAAACGUUUCUGUUAGUUUGAAUCCAUGGCUGUUGCGUUUCAUGACAAGUUUGACAGCUACGGGAAAGAGCCAAGAAUCGUGCUUGUCACUGGCAUCAAUCCUAAGAUAGUUGGGAGACGGUUAUAUCUCAAUGGCACUUCUGGCACGCACCUCUACUUUGACACUGAGACAGCUGCAAGAAAAGAAGAGUUUGACAAGUCCUUUUAUUCUAAUUAGAUACUCGCAACUUGGCUCUUCUCCUGAUGAAUUCGGAUUUCCUCUUCGUUGAAUGUCUUUCCAUGCUCAUACACUUGCAAAUGUCUUUCGUCAAAGGUGGUUCAUGCCCAAAAAAUUGAGCCACUUACCAUAUCUGAGCUUAACAAAUUUAUUAUUACUGCUGACCCUCAGGUGAACUCUGGACUAUUUAAAUUAAAAUAAUUAGAGUUUACUCGUCUGAUUUGUGUACUUCUUUUACACACGACAGAUAAUAGAGUUUCGAAAGCACGGCUAAGGUGACCGGAGUUCAGCAAGAUAAUGGUUGGUGCUAUAUUGGCUGCGACGGAUAUUCAAAGAAACUCAUCCGAGAGUUAUCUUCCUUCACACGUGUCUCAUGUAAUUGAACUAAUGUUGUGGCUGCACUCAAGUACCGGGUGAUAUUUACUGUGUCAGACGGCACUGAUAUUGCGGCUUUCCUUGGUUUUGAUUUGGAGUUAGCUAAGCUAACAAACAUUAAGGCUUCUGAGACUGCAAAAAGUUGUGGGUAUAGGUGUUGAUGCUGAGCUCCCUCUGUCUCUUGCUGAGAUUGUUGGGAAUACCUACACCUUCCAACUCAGAUUAAAGGACUUCAAUUUUACUUCAAAGUACCAGACCUUCACAUUUCCCGCAUUUUCCCAGCUCGAGAGCUCGCACCUGUGCCAGCCUUUGUGGUAAAUGUUGGUCUCUUUACCUAAUGUGAAUUCGCUCCCAUCUUAGAAAUAUAAACUUUGCUAGCUUUUCUUAAAUAAGAUGUUGGUCUUUUGAUUAAUGUGAAGCUCAUGCUACCUGAAAUAUGUAAUCUCUCUGUGUCGUUUUGAAAAAAAAACUCACUGCAGUGGUUGUUGUUUUCCUUACUAAUAAAGCUUCUU